GGUCAUCUAGCAGUGCACGCUGCCAGCGUAUUUUUUAUUGCCAGAGGUAGCAAACAGCAGUGCCUCGACAAACAGUGGAGUGCUGACCAUGCAGUCCAGAAGGUGGCUGAGGCAAGUAUGCUAUAGGAGGUGCUUAUUCAGGCAGAAGAAAUAAGCAUCUGUAGCCAACGUAAAGGAAGCAUCUUCAAAAAGCAGUGCUACAAGGAUGUGAGCAGCAGUUUCCCUUCAACGAACGGGUCAAAUUCAUGGAAGCCACGUGCCUGCUGCUUCUGGCCUACACAAACAUGCAGCCACCAUAGUAAAGUUCUUGCAAAGACAUUCUACACGAACUUGCCCAAAGGCGGAAGGAAGGCACGCACAGAUGGACGCACAGAAAUCAUGGGGCUGCCGUAGAAGCUGUGAAUGAGCAUUAACCUACGUACAGAAAGGAGCGAAGUGGAGCUGUCCAUGGGCCGUGCACACAGUUUCAUAAGCAGGCUUGCAACACUUUUGACAAAUAUGUUCCUGAAUACAUCUGCCAAAGUGGCAUUUAAAGAAGCAUGUAGUAGUGUACUUCACUGUUUAUUUGGCAUGAAGCAGCAGGUAUGCUUCCGUCAUCAGCAAGUUCACACAGUACAGUGCAUCUACACAUGGCAUGCUACCCCCACAUCUACCAGCUCGGGAUGUGUAGCUUGAUUGUAAAAUGUUUACUUUGACUUAACACAACAAUUAUUAACAAAAUGACAUGAAAGUUUUGCCACCUAUGCAGGCGACAUUCUCAGUAUACGCUGCCAAAUAUAAGCGGAGUUUGACCAGUCCAUUAGUCGCACAUUUCCUUGUAAACAUCUCGUAGAGGGCUGCUGUUGUUGUUGCAAGCCAAUGCGCCGUGAU